CAGAACCUGAAUUUUAAUAUGAAGGGGAUUCGCAGGCAUUGUGCCAAAGAGAUUUGCUGACACUCUGUACUCAAAAACUACACAGUUUUCCACUGGGACCACUUCUGUUUUAAAAGGAACACAAAAUGAGGAACUAAAUGGUGUGUACUUUAGUUACUGCUCACACAGACCGACAAUGAAGAGAAUCUGUUCUCUUACAGCAGUUGUAGUAGCAGAAUUCUAAGCUACGUGAUUAUCCACCUUUCUUACCCUGUUAGAAUUGGUCUAUAUGGAAGUUUGGUGAUUAG
rnacentral:lncRNA from 1 species